CAUUCACAGUGCGUUUGAUAAGUUGACAUGGGACAGGAAUUCUUUUUCACUGUUGUGUCAAUUUAUCAAACCAUAUGUGGAUAUC
ncrna:Ophiophagus hannah (king cobra) microRNA oha-mir-599 precursor